AUUCUACUCCCUCCGUUGCACAAUACAUGCCUUCUAUUUGUCAAAAUAUAUAUGUAUCUAGACAUGUUUUAGUAUCUAGGUACAUCCAUUUUUGGACAAAUGGAAGUCAAGUAUUUUGGGACAGAGGGAGUAGACA
rnacentral:pre_miRNA from 1 species